UUGAGCAGAACCCAGAGAGUUUGUCAGCCCCCAGUUUCCCCCUCCCCGGCGGGGCUCGGAGAGCGGAGGGGGAGGCCGUGAACCAUCCAGCAGGAGUGGCUGGGCUGGAGGCAGCGCUGCCCCAUCCUUGAAAGCUGGAGGCUUGAUCUCCAAAGGCAGCGAGUUCUGGAUAAGGCCUCUGGCCAAAGGAAUUAGGAACUGGGCGGCCAGGACAGCUGUCUCUGAGCUCUGAGAACAAGGACCUCACGCUGUGCCGCGCUGCGAUGCAGGCAGGGGCUCCCGAGGAGCCCCCGUGAGACUGAUUGGAUGAAGCGCUCCCUGGUCAUGCCUUGAUGCUUCUGGGUCUGCCACCCCAGCGGCUCCCAGGAGUUGGCUUCCUGCGCUGAUGGAGACCGACAAAGGCUGCUUGUACUCAGAAUGUCACCCUUCAGAAAGGAGUUACUCAUCAAGCCAUCAUCUUCCAUCAUCACACUGGAAAGCUGACUUUACCAGACUGGCUCCAAGAUUCAGCUAGACCGAGACAAGUCAUACUGGGAGUGUCAAAAAUUGGCUGCUGAGACAAAGGAAAAGUGGAUGUUCAAAUAGAAGCUGAAAGGGUCCUCUGGUCAAAGAAAAUCUACAGAGGCGCUGUAGAAGACAUUCUCAAAUCCCUGGUUCUCUCAGUUAAGGGGUGGAAAGAAAUUGGUUGAUGGUAGCUGGAAGCAACAACAAGAACAAAAAUCUGUAUCGGGGAUGACAGAAUAUGAGAUGGUUG